AAUGAACGCUGGCGGCGCGCCUAAUACAUGCAAGUCGAGCGGGAAGACGUAGCAAUACGUUUGUAAAGCGGCGAACGGGUGAGGAAUACAUGGGUAACCUACCCUAGAGUGGGGAAUAACUAGCCGAAAGGUUAGCUAAUACCGCGUACGCUCCUUGGACUUCGGUUCAGGGAGGAAAGCGAUGCCGAGGGUAUCGCGCUCUUGGAUGGGCUCAUGUCCUAUCAGCUUGUUGGUGAGGUAACGGCUCACCAAGGCUUCGACGGGUAGCUGGUCUGAGAGGACGAUCAGCCACACUGGCACUGCGACAC
rnacentral:rRNA from 1 species